rnacentral:rRNA from 1 species
UACGUAGGGUGCAAGCGUUGUCCGGAAUUAUUGGGCGUAAAGAGCUCGUAGGCGGUUUGUCACGUCGGCUGUGAAAACCCGAGGCUCAACCUCGGGCCUGCAGUCGAUACGGGCAGACUAGAGUAUGGCAGGGGAGACUGGAAUUACUGGUGUAGCGGUGAAAUGCGCAGAUAUCAGGAGGAACACCGGUGGCGAAGGCGGGUCUCUGGGCCAUAACUGACGCUGAGGAGCGAAAGCGUGGGGAGCGAACAGG